AUUUGGAAACAGAUGCUAAUACCGCAUAAAACCUAACACCGCAUGGUGUAGGGUUGAAAGAUGGUUUCGGCUAUCACUUUAGGAUGGACCCGCGGUGCAUUAGUUAGUUGGUGAGGUAAAGGCUCACCAAGACCGUGAUGCAUAGCCGACCUGAGAGGUAAUCGGCCACACUGGGACUGAGACACGGCCCAGACUCCUACGGGAGGCAGCAGUAGGGAAUCAUCCACAAUGGACGAAAGUCUGAUGGAACAACGCCGCGUGAGUGAAGAAGGUUUUCGGAUCGUAAAACUCUGUUGUUGGAGAAGAAUGUAUCUGAUAGUAACUGAUCAGGUAGUGACGGUAUCCAACCAGAAAGCCACGGCUAACUACGUG
rnacentral:rRNA from 1 species